AUGCAGAUAUUCGUAAAGACCCUCACCGGCAAGACCAUCACGCUUGAGGUUGAGUCCUCGGACACCAUCGAUAACGUCAAGGCCAAGAUCCAGGACAAGGAGGGAAUCCCUCCGGACCAGCAGCGUCUCAUCUUUGCUGGCAAGCAGCUCGAGGAUGGCCGCACCCUGGCAGACUACAACAUCCAGAAGGAGUCCACCCUCCACCUGGUGCUCAGGCUCCGUGGUGGUAUGCAGAUAUUCGUAAAGACCCUCACCGGCAAGACCAUCACCUUGGAGGUUGAGUCCUCGGACACCAUUGACAAUGUGAAGGCCAAGAUCCAGGACAAGGAGGGCAUUCCCCCGGACCAGCAGCGUCUCAUCUUCGCUGGCAAGCAGCUUGAGGAUGGUCGCACCCUUGCGGCCUACAACAUCCAGAAGGAGUCCACCCUUCACUUGGUGCUCCGUCUGCGUGGUGGCCAGUAA
rnacentral:rRNA from 1 species